CAGCCGCCGCGGGAAUACGUAGGUGGCAAGCGUUGUCCGGAAUUAUUGGGCGUAAAGGGAUCGCAGGCGGUUUCUUAAGUCUGAUGUGAAAGCCCCCGGCUCAACCGGGGAGGGUCAUUGGAAACUGGGAAACUUGAGUGCAGAAGAGGAGAGUGGAAUUCCACGUGUAGCGGUGAAAUGCGUAGAGAUGUGGAGGAACACCAGUGGCGAAGGCGACUCUCUGGUCUGUAACUGACGCUGAGGAGCGAAAGCGUGGGGAGCGAACAGGAUUAGAUACCCGCGUAGUCCCUGUCUCUUAUAC
rnacentral:rRNA from 1 species